rnacentral:lncRNA from 1 species
UGUUAAAUUGAGAAGUCAUCCUGCUCACCUGACUAAUGGUGAACCCCGAUUUAAGAACUUCCAAAUCUACUCUCGCCAUGUCUCUCUAAAUUUGUAGACGCAGCGCACUGCUCGCCCUGGGGUCACCACCGAAGCCUCCUGGUGGAGCCCUGCUCUGCUGAGGACGCUCUUCCAGCACGGAACUCACCACAAAAAAGAGACGGCGCCCAGCUGGCGCCCGCCCCGGGCACAUUGCAGUAAAUGCCUGGCAGCGACUUCUCGGUUCUCACUCCUCCUACCCCAUCGACCCUCUGCUGCCGACCUUUACGCCAAACUCCGGCGCGCCGCGAGACUCGCGUCCUCGCGGUCCCCGAGGGGCCCCACCCCUUCCCGGUUCUAACCUGCGACCUGGCCAGAGGCAAGGUGAAUGGGAAGAUGGAGAUGGAUGUUGAGGGAGUUUCUCCGCGCCCGGAGCCCAUCCCCCGCUCCCAAGGGGUUGGCGGAGCCUGCCAGGCGCCGCCACAGCCGCCCCAGCCCCAGCUGCCGCCGCAGCCGCUGGCUCAGGAUGAACUGCCCGGCGAGAGUGCCGGCGCUGAGGACAGCGACGAUCCCGAGACGAGACCCAACGGCGAGAAAGGAGAGAGCAAGUAUUUCAGUGACAUCAUCCACUCAGGAGAGUUGGGGCGAGGCUGGCUGAGGUUUUCAAGGAGCUGA